GGGCCAGUGGCCGAGUGGUUAAAAGCGACAGACUGUAAAUCUGUUGAUCUUUGAUCUACGUAGGUUCAAAUCCUACCUUGCCCA
rnacentral:tRNA from 1 species